AUCUGUUCUUAUUUCUUAUUAGGUACCUGAAAGGCUGAACCUGAUCUUUGAUGAACUAGAAGGCCAAGAUACCAAGGACUCGAGUGGGCGACUCCAAGAAUGGGUAAAACUAAGUAGUUGUGGCAGCUUUGGAUGAGAGAACCCAAUUCCUGGUAAAUUGGACACCAUCAAUGAGUUCGUCGAGUUUGAUUGAACUCUCACACUUUGAACAUGCUCUAUUUAAAGCAAGGCCA